CCAGGAACUAGUCUCAGGGUCCAUUAGUGCCUGAAAGCUGAUUAUUUCUCUUUCCCAUUGCGUAGGCACUCUGGUAGAUGGCCCUGGGCCCUGUUGGGGAAGCCUGGGAGGAAGAUUUACAGCACAAAUUUUUGGUGAUGUAAUAGGAUCCUUCCUCAUAAUAGGGGAUCCAUCCUCAUGUAACAGGGGACCUGGCUGCUUCUUCAUUCCAGUGUUCCUGGGCCUAGGAACUGGCUCAAGAGAAUCUGGCUCUGAGGAUUAGUUGAGGGGCUGGAACUCUCCAUCCUGGGACCACCGUGAUCAACCAGCCAACAUCAAAGAUCUCUGCAGGUCAAACCAUUCUGAUUACUGCUUCAGCCCUGUUGCCCGCAAGAUUCCUGGCUAUAUACAUUGGGAAAAAAAUCAUACAAUUCUUUUGGCAUGCGUGAUGUCUUCUUACAGGAGAAGCUAGUACUUUGGCUGCAGGGCCACACGCACACCUGGUCCAGGAUUUGAGGAAGCUGAAGUGAGAGAUCUCAUGGGAGUUGGAGGAGCUGAGGACCCUGCUAUUGUCCACACCAGCAAGGGGCGUUAGCAGAUUUGUAAAAC
rnacentral:lncRNA from 1 species